UACAGAGGUCUCAAGCGUUGUUCGGAUUCAUUGGGCGUAAGGGUGCGUAGGUGGCGCUGUAAGUCGGGUGUGAAAUUUCGGAGCUUAACUCCGAAACUGCAUUCGAUACUGGCGUGCUUGAGGACUGGAGAGGAGACUGGAAUUCAUGGUGUAGCAGUGAAAUGCGUAGAGAUCAUGAGGAAGACCAGUGGCGAAAGGCGGGUCUCUGGACAGUUCCUGACACUGAGACACGAAGGCCAGGGGAGCAAACGGG
rnacentral:rRNA from 1 species